GAUGAACGCUGGCGGCGUGCUUAACACAUGCAAGUCGAACGGAAAGGCUCCUGCUUGCGGGGGUCCUCGAGUGGCGAACGGGUGAGUAACACGUGGGUGAUCUGCACUGCACUUCGGGAUAAGCCUGGGAAACUGGGUCUAAUACCGGGUAGGACGAUGGGUUGGAUGCCAUUGUGGAAAGUUUUUUCGGUGUGGGAUGAGCUCGCGGCCUAUCAGCUUGUUGGUGGGGUGAUGGACUACCAGGGCGUCGACGGGUAGACGGCCUGAGAGGGUGUACGGCCCAGUUGCAUCUGGGCUAAGACCCAGCCCACUAUCGGAGGGAGCGGUGGGGAAUAGAGUCCAAUGGGCGGAAGCAUGGUGUGGCGACGCCGUGUGGGGGAAAUCAUGCAUGGCGUUGGAAAGUCAUAUUGUUAGGGCCGAAGCGCUAGUGACGGUACCUGGAGAAGAAGCCCCGGCUAACUACGUG
rnacentral:rRNA from 1 species